UUUGUCAGAGAUCAGCUGGGAAGUUCUGGUCUCAGCUCUAAAGAAAAAUCCUUCCAAUCUGACAGAACUGGACCUGAGCAUCAACAACCUGGAUAAUCCAGGAUUUUUUCAUCUGUGUGGUUUUCUAGAGAGUCAAGACUGCAGAGUGCAGAUUCUGAGGUUGUGGAGCUGCAGGUUGUCAAAGAUCAGCUGUGAUGCUCUGGUCACAGCUCUGAAGUCCAACCCGUCCCACUUGACAGAACUAGAUCUGAGACGUAACAACCUUCAGUCUUCAGAUGUUCAGCAGCUCCAGGAUCUGGUCAAGAGUCCAAACUUCAAACUGCAGACUCUGAGGUUGGAGGUAGAGGCUCUCUCCAUUAUCAACUGAUCACGCAGAGAGGAGCAUCAGCAACAGCUGGUCUGCAGAGAUGUUGUUCCUGGAGGUGGAGAGCAGGGUUAUAGAGGAAUCAGAGGAAGUGGAGAUGAGUUUAAAGAAGUUCAAUCUAAAUUCAGCAGAAUCUGAUCAUUUUCUAGAAUGUCUGAAACUAGUAGAAACUUUCUGAGCAUAAAGCCUGUUUUCUCCAGAGGACAUGAAUGAACAGAGUGGAUGUUAGUGAGGAAUGACAGAGAAUCACUUUGAUGCAGCUGCUGCAGCAACACUAACUGCAUUGAAGCAGGAGGGAGAAGGGAGACACGUGCUGGCUGUUUUCAGAACUGCAUCUUAGUGUCAGAAGGGUUUUAUUGAUUUUUUUCAACUAUAGAUUUUGAAAAAUACAUGUAAAAAUAUAUAUAUAAUUUAUUGCAGAAAUAAUGAAAUGUAUUGAUUAGAAAAUAGUAAACAAACAAACAAAAACAAAGACACACUUAUGUCACAUUUGAUUCAUUAGAUAUAGUUAUUAUUAACUAAAGUCAGUAAAGUUUGGUUGAUUGAAAAGCAGCGGGACGAUGAACUUAUAUAAUCCCACCCUAUUUAGUUACUCCAUUUUACGGUUUUGCAUAAUUAUGUUAUUUAGUUCAGAUCAGAUUAAAUGCAACAUUUUAUUUCAAUCACACUUCAUGUAAGAUGUUAUUUAUUACUUAUUGAUUAUUAACAGAAAACAAUUUUACAUUAUUUAGAAAUCAGCACUACCUAUUGCAUAUCAAGUUUUCUGGUAAAAAUAGAGUGAUUAUUUAUUAUUCUAUGAAAUAAUUCUUACAUAUGUUCAGUAACCGUAAGGAUUCACACAAUAUGUAACAACCCUUGAUUAUCAUUAGAACACAUGAUUAGCUUAAUCCAGGUAUCAUUGCUACAUAUUUCAGACCAAGUAAACUUAAUCAAUACCUUAUUGAUUGGAAUCAAAACAUUUCAGUAAUCAUAACGGCAUAUUACAGAGUGUAAAACUGCUUUGUUGUAAUUAAAAAUGCUUGAUUAUUUCACCACAUUCAAGUUAAUGUGUUCACACAUUUGGAAUUAUUCAAACAUCAGCUGUUUUUUUAAAUUCAUCCUCAUAUUGUAAAAUUAAAGUUACUUUAAACAUUUUCUCGAAUGUAUGGAUGUCUGAAAAUUGUUUGAGCUGAACCUGUUCCAAAUCUUAAUGACACACACAGAAACUUUUCUUUGUGGCUCUUUUCAAUAUGAAAUUAAAGUUCCUUCUUCUUUCCAGUUUGUAUCCUCUUUCAUUUUCUAAGAGCUGUUUUUGGAUAUUGUAUGGUAAUGUUUUCCCAAUAGCUCUGUAGAGAGUUUGUGCAGUGUAAAAAUCAUUAAGGUCAGUUUUAAAAUUCUGGAUUGAUAAAAUAAAUUGUUAGUGUGAUCAAGAUA